rnacentral:tRNA from 1 species
GGGCAAUUAGCUCAGCUGGAUAGAGCGCUGGCCUCCGGAGCCAGAGGUCGCAGGUUCGAAUCCUGUAUUGCCCG